UCUCUAUAUACCUCUUGGGCGACCUUUGCUCUGACUGCUUUUUUGUGAAGGAAAUGAAAGGGAAGUGAAAUAGGUUAGUUGAAGUAAACCUUCUCCUUCUCAAGACUUGAUUCACUGCCCAAGAUUUGUCGACCACUCAGAAAUAUGAAGCCAUCGAGUUCCAAUGAGUUUGAACAUGUGGUCGAAGCUGUCUGAAGAAACGCCAGUUAAUGAGACAUCAAGUAUGUUUGGCAAAGAUCAAACGGUAUUUCUGAAAAAGAAAACAAGCUAGUGAAGUUCUUUGAUGAGUUCACAAAGAUUGGUGUCCCUGAAAUGAAGAUACUUCAAAUGUUUGCUACUUAGUACAAAACAGGGACAGAGUGAAGAUCUUCAUGGCAUGCCCAGUUGAUAGAAGGCUCACCUUGUUGGAAUUCAUGGAGUUGAUAUGAAAAGCAGUAUGCUGAAGGGUCGACAACUUUAGGCUAUUGAUGCUCAAUAUACCGGUAGUCAAUAUACUUUUCUCGUCAUGUGAUUAAGUAAUAUGAGCUGAUCAGUAUCAAAUGUCUCAGUUGAUAUCGUAUCCUAACUUUGCUUGCUGUUCUGUUCAGCAAUCUGAAUCAACUUGUUGGAUUUUCACUUCCUGUUCA